GGCUAUGCCAAACCAAAGCCAAGCAGGAAGAGGCCUGAUCUCCUCACUCCUGACUCGCUUGAAUAUCCUGCACACACCUUCUGCUUGUGAAAGGGACCAGGAACUGAAGGCAAGGAAACCCCUAGGGAUGCAGGCCCAAAACAGGUGUGAAAGGACAGAGAAGGUUGGAGAGCAGAGCUGGAGGGGGAAAAUGGAGCAUAAAAGGAACAUAAAGUGGUGAGUGAA
rnacentral:lncRNA from 1 species